UGGCGAACGGGUGAGUAACGCGUGAGGAACCUGCCUCAAAGAGGGGGACAACAGUUGGAAACGACUGCUAAUACCGCAUAAGCCCACGACCCGGCAUCGGGUAGAGGGAAAAGGAGCAAUCCGCUUUGAGAUGGCCUCGCGUCCGAUUAGCUAGUUGGUGAGGUAACGGCCCACCAAGGCGACGAUCGGUAGCCGGACUGGGAGGUUGAACGGCCACAUUGGGACUGAGACACGGCCCAG
rnacentral:rRNA from 1 species